rnacentral:tRNA from 1 species
GCCUUCUUAGUUCAGUGGCUAGAAUUUUUCACUAGUAGUGUCGCUCAGCGUCUUGCUAUGAAAGGGUCACCCGUUCAAUUCGGGUAGAAGGCA